AAACAUCUUUUCCUGUAAUUUUUAUGAAAUUUGUCCUGCCCAAUGAAGUUUUAAUGGCCGCAGUAUUUUGACUGUGCAAAGGUAGCAUAAUCAUUAGUCUAUUAAUUGUAGACUUGUAUGAAUGGUUUGACGAAGCAUUAACUGUCUCAUUUUAAAAAUUUAAAUUUAAAUUUUAAGUUAAAAUGCUUAAUUUUUUUUGAAGGACGAGAAGACCCUAUAGAUCUUUAAUUUUUAUGAUUUAUUUGUUUUGGCUUAUUUUUAAGGUAAGUUUGAUUGAUUUUUCGUUGGGGUGACGUUGAGAUAUAAUUAACUCUUAUUAUUACUUUACAAUUAUUUUUGAUUCUUUGAUCUUUUAUUAUGGUUUAUAAGAUAUAGAUACCUUAGGGAUAACAGCGUAAUCAUAUUUGAGAGUUCAUAUCGACAAUAUGGGUUGCGACCUCGAUGUUGGAUUAAGAUUACUUUUAGGUGUAGAAGCUUAUUUAGUAGGUCUGUUCGACCUUUAAUUUCUUACAUGAUC
rnacentral:rRNA from 1 species